rnacentral:rRNA from 1 species
UACGUAGGGGGCAAGCGUUGUCCGGAUUUAUUGGGCGUAAAGAGCGUGUAGGCGGCCUGACAAGUCUGCUGUGAAAACUCGAGGCUCAACCUCGAGAUGUCGGCGGAAACCGUCUGGCUAGAGUCCGGAAGAGGAGAGUGGAAUUCCUGGUGUAGCGGUGAAAUGCGCAGAUAUCAGGAAGAACACCUAUGGCGAAGGCAGCUCUCUGGGACGGUACUGACGCUGAGACGCGAAAGCGUGGGGAGCGAACAGG